UAGGCUAAUACGUGCGAAGCGCCGAAGCCGCGAGGCGACGGGCGUUCUCGCCCGGAUGUAGGGAACCGACCCCGGGGGACCGCCCGGGGGCAACCCGGCGCCCCCGAGACGGGGCGAACCACGGUGAAAUGACGGAUCGUCGGCCCCGCGCCGGCGACUCGCCGAAUGAGUUUCUGACCUAUCAACUCGAGACGGCGGGGUAGAGGCCCGCCGCGGUAACGACGGGUAACGGGGAAUCAGGGUUCGAUUCCGGAGAGGGAGCCCGAGAAACGGCUACCACUUCCAAGGAAGGCAGCAGGCGCGCAACUUACCCUAAUCUCGAUUCGAGGAGGUAGUGACAAGAAAUACCGAUGCGGGACCCUACGGGUGCCGCGUUCGGAAUGAGUACGAUUCGAACCACCUAACGAGGAACGAUCGGAGGGCAAGUCUGGUGCCAGCAGCCGCGGUAAUUCCAGCUCCAAUAGCGUACGUUAAAGUUGCUGCAGUUAAAAAGCUCGUAGU
rnacentral:rRNA from 1 species